rnacentral:ribozyme from 1 species
UUGGUUUAAUAAAAGGCCACAACACAAGCACUCAUGGUGCAGCCUAUCAGAUUCCAAUGCAAUCUGUGAAUUCUGCU